rnacentral:tRNA from 1 species
GCUCAUAUAGCUCAGUCGGUAGAGCACUUCCUUGGUAAGGAAGAGGUCUCCAGUUCGAAUCUGGAUAUGAGCUCCA